AAAUUGAAGAGUUUGAUCAUGGCUCAGAUUGAACGCUGGCGGCAGGCCUAACACAUGCAAGUCGAACGGUAACAGGAAGCAGCUUGCUGUUUCGCUGACGAGUGGCGGACGGGUGAGUAAUGUCUGGGAAACUGCCUGAUGGAGGGGGAUAACUACUGGAAACGGUGGCUAAUACCGCAUAA
rnacentral:rRNA from 1 species